GAUUUGUAUGGCCCAGAGGGCUUGUAGGUGUGUCUCAGAUUGUCACCUGUACAGGGGAGAUGCUGCCAAAAUUUCUUCUGGCAGGGAUUCCCCCGGGACGUGACAGUUACAAUCUGAGGUAUUCAUCACUACAAAAAAACUGUAAUUUAGCGACAAAUAUUUGUGAUAAAAAAUAUUCAUCGUAAAUUUGCAACAACUUUUGCGACAAAAAACUAAAUUAUCGCAGUUUAACAACAAAUUUUGUGACAAAAAUAUUUUCAUCGUAAAUUAGCAACAAAAUAUUAUUCAUCGCAAAAUUCAUUGGAAAUUAGUGACAAACUUCUAUAUUCAUCACUGUUUACAACAAAAAAAGGAUUCAUCACAAAUUCUAUGAUGAAUAAUAGAUUCGUCGCAAAUUUAGCGACGAAUUUAGGAUCCGUUGUAAAAAUAAAAUUUAUUUAAAAAAAAAACUUUCCAAAGCUGGUUAACAUACCUAGAGGGUUCGUAAUGACAUGCAACAAGUUCGUAUGAGUUCCUAUUAACCCCAUGAUCAUAAAAAUGCCCUUAAAAAAUAAUUUGACCAACUAUACUUUUUCUUAAAUUGCUAAAUCAAUUACGUGCAUGUAAGACUUAGUUAAAUUUCUAUAAGAAGUCAUAAUUUAACAUGUCACACUUAUUUUGAAAUAUCUAAAAUGGUCGAGGUACCUAAAGAACUCCGAAUGAGAUGUAACUAGUUUCUAUAGAUCUCAAUGGAGAUUGUUAUUUUUAUUUUUAUUUUUAAAAUAAACUUUCCGAAGUCGGUUGACAUACUUGGAGGGCUCGGAAGGACAUGAAACAAGUUCUCAUGAAUUCCUAUAAACCCCCUGAUCAUAAAAUGUCCUUAAAAAAUAAUUUGACCAACUGUACUUUUUCUUAAAUUACUAAAUCAAUUACAUGCACGUAAGACUUAGUUAAAUUUCUAUAGGAAGUUGUAAUUUAAUAGGUCACACUUAUUUUAAAAUAUCUAAAGACGGUAGAGGUACCUAGAGAGCUCAAACAUCAGCGGCAGCGGCUGCAUCUUCUGGAUCGACAACCUUACCGACAUCAAACACUAAAACAAUGGCUUCAGCUAAGAUCUCUAUGUUCGAUUAGCACGAGAAAAUUCUUCAAGUUAAUAUAUUGGCAAAUUGUUCGGCUUGAACGUCUUCUGUUUAGUAGAAUCGAUGUGCAGUGGCCAUAGCAACAAGAGCCGCGUAGUUGUGAUCAUUGUGGUACCGUUGUUACCGACGUUUUUCUUGGCUGCCGCCGUGAUUCCCCUUUGGAGAAGAAGGAAGACGAGAAACAACAAGAUGAAGAAUCACUUGAUGAAGAAGAAGCAGUGGAAGAGGAAAACUUGGACAUGUCUCUAUUUGAUUUGCGUAGGAUUGCAGAGGCCAUCGGAGACUUUUACUUCGACAACAAGCUCAGAGACGGUGGAUUUGGCCCUUUUUAUAAGGGAAAGUUGAAGGAGGGCCAGGAAAUAGCUAUGAAGAGGUUAUUGAAGACGUUGACAUAUGGCUCAGAUGAGUUCAAGAACGAGAUGAGUUCGCCUUCUUGGCUAUUGCGUUGAGGGGGGAGAAAGAAUGCUGAUCUACGAGUACAUGCUCAAUGGAAGCUUGGACACAUUCUUUUUUGGAUUGAUCAAACACAAUGAAAAUCAAUAUCGGAGAAAAUAAGGAUAUUGGAAGAAGAUGGAUAAGACUUAGUGAUGUUUAGAAAUUUAUUGAUGUAUGGAUGAUUUAGAACUUAUUAUGAUGUUUGGAUUGUAUGGAUAUUAGAUCUUUUGUGAUGUUUGUAUUUUUAUGUAUGAUAUGUUUGGAUUGUAAGGAUAUUAGAUGAUGUUUGCAUUUUGAUGUAUGAAAUGUUUGAAUUUUAUGGAUAUUUUGUUACGUUUA